rnacentral:lncRNA from 1 species
GGGACUUGGAGAAUCUUUAUGUCUAGCUAAGAGAUUGUGAAUACACCAAUUGGUACUCUGUAUCUAGCUCACGGUUUGUAAAUGCACCAAGCAGCACUCUGUGUCCAGCUCAGGGUUUGUAAAUACACCAAUCAGCACUCUGUAUCCAGCUAAUCUAGUGAAGACGUGCAGAACUUUUGUGUCUAGCUCAGGGAUUGUAAAUGCACCAAUCAGCACCCUGUCAAAACAGACCAAUCAGCUCUCUGUAAAACAGACCAAUCGGCUCUCUGUAAAAUGGACCAAUCAGCAGGAUGUGGGGGAUGUGGGGGUGGGGGGGGUGGGGGGGGUGGGGGGGUGGGGGCGGCCAGAUAAGACAAUAAAAGCAGGCUGCAGGAGCCAGCAGCGGCAAACCGCUCGGCUUCCCGGCUGUGUUCUUUGGCUGUUUGCUGUAAAUCUUGCUACUGCUCACUCUUGGGGUCGACACUUCCUUUAUGAGCUGUAACACUCACCGUGAAUGUCUGCAGCUUCACUCUUGAAGCCAUGGAGACCACGAACCCACCGGAAGGAAGGAACAACUCCAGACGCGCCGCCUUAAGAGCUGUAACACUCACCGCGAAAGUCUGCAGCUUCACUCCUGAGCCAAGGAGACCACGAACCCACCAGAGGAAAGAAACUCUGAACACAUCCGACCAUCAGAAGGAACAAAUUCCGGAGUGCUGCCUUUAAGAACUGUAACACUCAGCGCGAGCGUCCGCAGCUUCAUUCUUCAAGUCAGUGAGACCAAGAACCCACCAAUUCCGGACACAAUAUUACCUAUUCAUAAAAGUUAUAGCAUAAAAUGCAUUCACUUAAAAUUACAAAUAUACACACUUUUGAUCUAACAAUUUAACCUCUGACAGUUACACCUUAGCUAUCUGACAGGUACACCUUUGCAUGUGCAAAAUGAUGUAUGCAAAAUGAUAUUCAUUACAGCAUUGACUGAGAGAGCAAAAGACUAGAAAUGAUCUAAAUAUCUAUCAAAUAAGUCUGGUGAAAUAAGCUAUGUACCCCUGCACAAUGGAAUAUGUUGUAGCCAUAUAAGAAAUAAUGAAGAAUUUCAUUAAGUAGUGAUAAGGAAUGAUCUCUGAGAUAUAUGGCUAAGCAGAAAAGAGAUGGUAGUAAAAACGGAUGUAUGGUACAGUAUGCCAAAAUGUUUGCAUAAGAAAGGGGAAUACUGGAUAUAUUUGGACUUUAUAUACGUGCAUACAAUGGCUCUGGGGAGAAAAAACAAACACACAAAAAAACAUUGGUUGCUUAUGGUUUCUGCUUUUUCUUCAUAGCAUUGUCAUUAUGUUAAAUUAUUUCACACACUUGAUUUGUUUGCAUGCUUGUUUUCUGUUUCCUCCAUUAGAAUGUAGGCACCAAGGGGGCAAAGUCUAAUCUGAUACGUUUACAUAGGUAUCCCCCUACACCUUGGACAAGUGUGUGGCACAUAAUAGAUGCUCAAUAAAUGGUUGUUGAAUAUUGUUUGACAGAAAUAAAUAAGCCUUUUCUCUGACCAUGAUGUGGCCUUUUAGGGGAUGACAGCAUUGUGAUCACAAACCUUCAAAGGAUCUUCUGUCUUCAAGGCAAAAUGUUUUUAAAAAGCCAAAAAGUAGUCAUAAGAAACUGCUAACAGAAUAACGAGGAAUGUAAAAUGUCAGCCUUCACCUAUUAAUAAUUGUUACAGCAUAUUACGUCUCUGACUGAAUCUUCUACAAACAAGCAAUUAAGGUAAUCUUCAUCACAGGAGGUAGUUUGAAGAAGUCAAAGCCACAACGUAUUUCAAACAGCUGGGGAACAGCAGAAAUACUGGAGGAAAAAGCCAACAUCCUGUGAGCUGGUGUUAUUGUAGAAUUUAAAAAUAACUGUCGAGAUGGAACACAAUCAUUUAUGAGGCACCAAAUUAGAUUCUUGGGUCGCUACAGUUGUUCAGAGGACAGAACGGAGAUUUCUAGAUGUUACCUUGGCAAUGAAGUAAAGCAAUUGCUUGUGGACGUUGUUAGCUUGUGAAGGUGGUCAAGAUUCAAAUUCGCAGGUCAUCAUAGAGGGGAAAAUAAAACUUCCAAAGUGUUUCUAAUUUGUCCUAUUCUUGAAUAUAUAUUUAAAAUUAGGAGAUGUGUAUUUUCACUAAGUUCUUCAAUACGGGACUUCAAACCUGUCCUACUCUUCAAGCUCUUUUGAGUGUAAGGCUAAUGCACACAUAUCCAUACCCACUCAGGCACUAAGAAGACUACUCCUUGCCUCUGGCUUAGCCCUGAUUCUGGCUGUGCCACUUUUAUUCCCUUAUUUGGUGUUGUGUGAUGUUUCACUGGGCAGGUUUAAUGGCCUUCACAAAGUAUCCAUCUGAUCUAUCCACUCAGUGAUUUUUAUCAUUGUAAGUAAACUUUGCCCAUUCUACCUACCUCGAGAAAAGAUACAUUGACUUGAAACUAACAUGGUUUUGUGAUUUCUAGCAGGCACCAGGCCCCAUUUCACCAAUUUUUUAUUAGCCCAAGUGUAGCAGAUCCUGUCAGUGUCUGGCCCAUUUCCCCUGGCCAUACCCUCCACAAUUUUAAAGUUUAAAGCAAACACCUGCAAAAGACUCAAGCGUCUUUUGCUCUGACUGAGAGCCCACUCAGCCUGGAACAUCACAGGACAGAACUGCACAGAGUUAGUGCCCCAGGAAGCAGCCCCUAACAUGACUGAUGGAUGGAUACCCUGCUUCCUCACCCCUGGUUGAGAUAACCCUGAGGUGCGUUCCACUGAUUUCCUAAGCUCCCCAGUGGCUCACAGGAGUAACUGGCUCCGUAACUCAGCCUUACUUGGUUACCGUCCUUUAUAGGUGCUCUGACUCCCCUUCUGGAGUUUCCUGGGAUUAACUUUCAAAUAAUCUCCUUCAACUGAGUCCUUGUCUUGGUAUCUGCUUUUGAGAGAACCUGUGCUAAGACAAAACACUAGAAAAUUAACAAAAUAUACCAAUAUUUCC